ensembl:lncRNA
CCUUCUCCACCUGCAGGGCUGUGGUGCAGUCCUUGAAGGUGCUGCUCUGCAGCGUGGGCCUCCAGAGGCAGAUGGAGGCCAUCCAGGAGCAGGGCGGCUGGGACGCGCUUCUCAGCACUGUGACCCACCUCCAGGGUGUACAGGUGGUGGCCAGGUGAGAACUCCUCCCUCAGGGUGGCAGGGGGUCCCCAGUUCUCUGAGAAAGUGCUGCCACAGCACCACCACAGCCUGUGGCCCCUGCGGCGUUGGCAAGAGGGCUGCACAGCCAGAGCUGCGUCCCCCUGGCUCGGGGCUCACGGUGCCUUCUUAUCCCUGCCAGGGUGAUGAGAGAGCUGCCUGGUGCUCUGCGUGACCCCAUCUUCCACCACCUGGUUGAGCUGCUCAGCACCAGCUUCUUCUACUCCUGGGAGACGGUGGCCAUGGUCUUCCUCAUUGAGGUGAGCACCAGCUGCAGAAGCGGUGAACUUGAGGCUGCAACGCCACUGGUGGCACGAGUCCUGCUGCCUCCCUCGGGACCAGGCUUGGCCAUGCCUUGCUGUCUUUCCCCAAGCGGGUUGCUGGAUCCAGCACUAAGAGCCGCGUGUGUUGCAGAUGCUGGACUGCGUGGACCUCAACAAAGAGCUGCACCGCAUCAUGAUACUCUUUACCACCUAUCUGCAGAGCCAGAGCGUGGGCAUGCAGCAGCUGGUGCUCAGGGGCAUUCUGAAGCUGAGCCAGAGGCAGGACACGGUGAGCAGGGGCGGCCAGGAAUGCCACAGGUGCCACAGGUCGGGCUAGGCCUGCCAUGGGGCUGUAGCAGAGCCAUCUGCAGCUCAGCACCUCUCCAUGCAGUGAGGAGCUGGUGCUCGCUGCCCAUCCCAUUGCUGCCUGCUGUCCACGGGGCUGGUACUGGAGUGGUUUUGCCCUCACUGUGCUUGCUGCUCUACCUAAAGGAAGGGGUGUUCUUCCCACAGGCAAGGCCAAUGAUCAUCUUCCUGCCGUGCGUCAUGGAGCUGCUGCAGGACGCAGACAGCGACAUCCGUGCCGUGGCCUUACCAAUACUCAGCAACCUGCUGCAGCUCCUGGAGGGGGUCAAGCUCAGCCUCAUGGCUCUGGCUCUGGCCGGCAAGCUCCCAGCGCUCAUUAAUGAUGAGUCCAGCACGGUGCGGCAGCUCUCCAUCGACCUCUUCCUCGAAACGCUCAACUACGUGGAGGACCAAGAAAAGAGGAACAUGCAGGAGGAGGUGUGCAGGAGCCUGGUCCUGCUGUAUCUGCACCUGCAUGAUGAGGAAGAGAGCGUGGCCAAGGUGGGAAUUGCGUUCAUUUGGGGGA